UACGAAGGGUGCAAGCGUUAAUCGGAAUUACUGGGCGUAAAGCGUGCGCAGGCGGUUAUGCAAGACAGAGGUGAAAUCCCCGGGCUCAACCUGGGAACUGCCUUUGUGACCGCAUAGCUAGAGUACGGCAGAGGGGGAUGGAAUUCCGCGUGUAGCAGUGAAAUGCGUAGAUAUGCGGAGGAACACCGAUGGCGAAGGCAAUCCCCUGGGCCUGUACUGACGCUCAUGCACGAAAGCGUGGGGAGCAAACAGG
rnacentral:rRNA from 1 species